UCCCCAGUGGUCCAAUGGUUAGGAUAGUUGUCUUUCAGCACGGUCGUGCCUGCGCACAAUUGGCCGGGGUUCGAUUCCCCGCUGGGGAG